CCAAUAGCGUAUAUUAAAGUUGUUGCAGUUAAAAAGCUCGUAGUUGAAUUUCGGAAUCUGUCCAUCGGUCGGGCUUCAUUGUCCGUACUGGUGUGGUGGGUUCUUACCUUCUGAAUAACCAGCAUGCCAUUUAUUUGGUGCGCUGGGGAAGCAGGACUAUUACCUUGAAAAAAUUAGAGUGCUCAAAGCAGGCUAGUGCCUGAAUACAUUAGCAUGGAAUAAUAAAAUAGGACGGCAUGGUUCUAUUUUGUUGGUUUCUAGGAUCACCGUAAUGAUUAAUAGGGAUAGUUGGGGGCAUUAGUAUUCAAUUGUCAGAGGUGAAAUUCUUGGAUUUAUUGAAGACUAACUUCUGCGAAAGCAUUUGCCAAGGAUGUUUUCAUUAAUCAAGAACGAAAGUUAGGGGACCGAAGACGAUCAGAUACCGUCGUAGUCUUAACCAUAAACUAUGCCGACUAGGGAUCGGACGAUGUUAAUUUUUUAAUGACUCGUUCGGCGCCUUACG
rnacentral:rRNA from 1 species